rnacentral:lncRNA from 1 species
AAAUUGUUUCGUUUAUAAUAGAAUUUGGAAUCAGAAUCAACUUAUUAUUAUUAUUAUUAUAUGAUUAAGAAAAAUUUAAUAUAUUAUAUAAAUUUGUAAUAAAAAUUUAAAUUUAAAUUUAAAUUUAAUUCGUAAUCUAAAUUUUUAAUUUAAAUUUAAUUUUUUAAUCUAAAUAAGUUCAAAAUCAAAAUCUAAAACUAUAUCUAAAUUCAAAUAUCAGACAUAUAUUGAAAAUAAAAUUUAAAUUUAAAAAUAAUAAAAUUUGAAUUUAUAAUAUAAAUUUAAAAUUAAAAUUAUAAUUUAAUCUAAAUUUAAAUUUAUAUGUAUAUUUAAAUUUA